rnacentral:lncRNA from 1 species
ACAGAGCUCUCAGGUGCGGCGGCUCCUCUGGCGCGAGUCCCGAUUUGGUGUUUUACUCUGGUCAACCUGUAGAGGAAAGGACGGUGUCACAGUGGUAUAAAAAUUACAUUGAACGGGAAUCGAGAAGGGCCUCAUCGGAGGCAAAAACUAAGAAAACACGCGGCAGUGCCACUGGGUUUCGGCAGCGUUUUUCAGCCAAUUGACCGGUAGUUUGGCUCCGAUUUAGCCACAGGGAGGUUCAGCAUCAAAAUCUGAGCCAAGGGGAGAAAUUUUACCUCGUUUGGCGGCCAGAAAGUUCCACUGUGCGGCGGCGGGUGGCGGUGGUCGGUUCCUCCAGUGGCUAGGCUGUCUUCUCUGGCGAGGGCUCUGGCGGCUAGGGUUUGGGGUUGGGUGUGGAUGAGAUUAUUUAUAACCCUCCCUUUUUAAUCUGCACCGUCAAUCACGAUUUAAUCUGGACCGUUCGAUCACGAUUAAAUUAGAUAUGAAUCUGAGCCGUCCAUCGCGAUACGAUCUAGGCCAUCCGUGCGUGAUUC